CGAAUGCAAAACAUGUCCUAGGCUGUAUAUACUAAGAACAGAUUGAGCAUUAGGAGAGUUGUGAUUAAGCCUGCACCAUCAAUAGGUCAACAAGCAUCUUAGUAAAAGGUCCACUAUUUUCCAAGAAGGCAGCACAUUCUGUGGAGCUUCUGAAAACAUAAGCCUGAAAAGGAAAGAGGUGGAGAAACGAGAGAACCGUACCAUAUUCGUCUAGUGGAGCCUCAUCAUAAUAAGCUGUUGUUAUGAAAGGGGAGGCCAAUCUAUCAAAAUUGGUUCCUCCAUGGUACUGCAUCAAAACCAUCAUGCAUGUGAGUUGCUGAGAAAAACAGAAGCUAAAGAAAAAGAGGAGCAGUUAAUUAUAGACAGUGAUGAUACCAUGUAG